rnacentral:lncRNA from 10 species
GGGGACCCGGGCUUGCGUCGGAGGGGGCGGUGGGCUCACCCAUGGGCCUUUCCAAAAGCAAAGAGAAACCCAGGAAAGGUGAGGAGCAAAAGAAGGGAUCCACCUAUUCAGUUCCAAAAUCUAAGGAGAAGUUGAUGGAGAAGCAUUCCCAGGAAGCCAGGCAGGCAGACAGGGAGUCGGAGAAGCCUGUGGACAGCCUCCACCCGGGGGCCGGGACAGCCAAGCACCCGCCGCCGGCAGCUUCGCUGGAAGGUGUGGUGGCAGGAGCCUGUAGUCCCAGUUGCUCAGGAGGCUGAGGCAGGAGAAUCACUUGAACUCAGGAGGUGGAGGUUGCAGUGAGCCGAGAUCACACCACUGCACUCCAGCCUGGGUGACAGAGCGAGACUCCGUCUCAAAAACUAAGAAGAAGAUUAAUAAUAAACCAGCACUGCCAUUGCCAGCAGUCCAUCCUACCUCGCAUCCAGAGAAACCUGAUGUAAAGCAAAAGUCCAGCAGGAAGAAAGUGGUCGUUCCACAGAUCAUCAUCACGCGAGCGUCGAAUGAGACGCUAGUCAGUUGCAGUUCCAGCGGGAGUGACCAGCAGAGAACCAUUCGGGAGCCGGAGGACUGGGGCCCCUACCGGCGGCACAGGAACCCCAGUACAGCAGACGCCUAUAAUUCACAUCUCAAAGAAUAAACAAGCACCUUUGCAUGGCACUCGCUACUCCCUGCGAUAGGCGUCUCGGGAACAGCCGCCUCACCCUGUGAGAAGCCGAGGCCCCUUCUCCAGUGCUCUCGGGGAGGUUGCACCAGGCCCACCCCACCCUAUGAGGGCUCCUGAUUGUGGAAGGCCACGGAAGGGACCUGAACACGAUGGCACGAGACAAGUUAUCUCCUGUGACUGCUCCUCUCCAGCAACCCUCAGCUCAGGCUAGACUUUCCCCCUGUGUUGAGAAUGCCCUGCCCUGUGUGGAAGCCUGAUGCAUUUAGUGACAGUGUGUUAGCUUUGUUAGUUUCUAGUCUGGCCAGCAGGCUUUCCAUGUGAUCUGCCAUUGGCUUGCUUCAGUGGCCAGUGGAGCCAGGGGUGUCCACCAGAGUCUUGGACACAGACUUCUGAGGUGGCAGCGGGAGGGAGCCUGCUCCCUGCCACACACGUACAAUUUCUAAUCCAUACAGGCCUAUGUAGUAUAUACACACAUACGCAGAGCCUUAGGAAUUGUGAAAGGCCAAUCAAAACUUGGGGCCCUAAUUUCACUCUGCC